rnacentral:pre_miRNA from 1 species
AAUAAAUGCAGCCAUGAGUUUUCGCGCUCAACUUUGAUCGUCCAUCUUAUUUGAAAUUUUUUUAUAAUUAGCAUUUUUGUUGUUAUGAGAUGAUAAAAUACUUUACUCGUGACUUAUGUUUUUAAUUUUUUUAAAAAAAUUUUAAAUAAGACGAAUGGUUAAAGUUGGGCGCGGAAAACCAUGGCUGCACUUCUU